UACAGAGGUCCCAAGCGUUGUUCGGAUUCAUUGGGCGUAAAGGGUGCGUAGGUGGCGCGCUAAGUCAGGUGUGAAAUUUCGGAGCUUAACCCCGAAACUGCAUUUGAUACUGGCGUGCUUGAGGACUGGAGAGGAGACUGGAAUUUACGGUGUAGCAGUGAAAUGCGUAGAGAUCGUAAGGAAGACCAGUGGCGAAGGCGGGUCUCUGGACAGUUCCUGACACUGAGGCACGAAGGCCAGGGGAGCAAACGGG
rnacentral:rRNA from 1 species